UUCGGAUGUAGAACUGUUGUUGAUGUUGAAAUUGAAGAUGCGAAGACACGAUGUAACGAAACCGAGGGAAAAUCUACAGCUUUCUUAAACACUUGUUGAAAGUUGACAAGGCAGUAUACUACUUCAUCAAUAGGAGAAAUUCGUCUCAGUGAGAUAGAAGCCUAUCGAGUCUGACCAGCAAAGCAACUUUCCCCAACACUGAUUGAAAGUUAGCAAGACAGUACAUCAUUUCAUCAAAAGAAUUGCCUCGUCAUUUGCCUGGUAUUCAUCACUGAUUGAGAUAGAAGCCCAUCGAGUCUGGUCAGAAAAGCAACUUUCUAAGAGACUGCUUGAACGUUAGAAAGGCAGUACAUCAAUUUCAUCAAACGAAAUUCGCCGUGGUCAUUUGUCUGGUAUUCAUCACUGAUUAAGAUGAGAGCCUAUCGCGUCUGGUCAGCAGAGCAACCUUCUAAAGGACUGCUUGAACGUUAGAAAGACAGUACAUCAAUUUCAUCAAACGAAUUUCGUCGUGGUCAUUUUGUCUGAUAUUCAUCACUGAGCAAGAUGAGAGCUUAUCGAGUCUGGCCAGCAGAGCAAGUUUUCUCAAUUAAAGAACUUGGAAUCUGGAAUCAUAAAAAGUGAUAAAACUUGAGUAUUCAAAUCUGAAAGAGAGUUUUAUCAAACAUGUCUGAGAACUACCUGCAAACAAAUGAAUUGAGCUGCACUUGAGACUAUUUUAGCCGUUACCCAAUGGCAUGAGACUAUUUUAGACUAUACCCAAUGGCACGAGACUAUUUUAAGCUAUACCCAAUGGCAUGAGACUAUUUCAGACUAUACUCAAUGGCAUGAGACCAUUCUAGAUACUAUACCCAAUGCCAUAAGACUAUUUCAGACUAUACCCAAUGCCAUGAGACUAUUUUAGACUAUUCCCAAUGGCAUACGUACUUUAAUCUUAUAUGCAAGAAAAAAUGGGUCGACCAAUCACGUUCUUGUGAUUUUAAUAAACGGAAACAGAUUCUUGAUCGAACCAUUGUUUAGAAACCACACAAAUUUUUUUCUUCAUUACGCUACAAUACAAUUUCUAUAUUUGAUUCCAUAUUUAUGAAAAAUUAAGAAUCUAUAGUUCAUGUCUUAUGUAAAAUUAAAUAGUGGAUAUAUCUAUUAUACCAAAACAUCGUUUAAAUUUGUAUUUUAAAUUUUCCAUUUCAUCACUCCAUUCCAUCCAUUCUAAACAUACAUUCCUGUGAUUACUUUAAUAAUUUGGCAUGAAGGAGGCGGCGUCAUUCAACAUAUUUGUCAUAUAACUUAAUUAUACAAAUAUUUUCUUAUUAAUAAGGAAUGAGCAUUCAAAAUAUAAUGCUAUGAUAUCUCAUUAUUGUCUUAUUUACUCAUUUUGAUACCAUUUGUAAUCAGUACGAACUAAAUAAAGUCUAUUCAUGGUUGUCAAUGCUACCUAACACACAAAUCUAAUCUAUUACCGGUACUUUAUCAACACUGCUUGUUCUUUGUUUGGAAUCGUCUUCAGAAAACAAACCAGGCCGGCAUGGUUUGUCUAUUCUGUCGAUGAAUCUCCAUCAAAAAACAAAACAAAAAACAAACAUACUACACUCACAUACACAGGGGUUGGGAGGGGGGAUGGGGUUCUGGUGGUUGGUGGGCCCAUGAAGGGAGGGAAUACACAGCAUGACAAUCAUAGUAGCAAUAUUUGUUCGGUCAAUACUAAACUAAAAUAUAAAUGACCACAGAAUCUGGCAAUUGGUGGUCAAAAUUAUAUGUUUUUAUUUUAAUAUUUAUGACAGUAAACAUGGCAAUACAGUUGAAUGUCAGUACCUUCUUUUCAAAUCAGAACUUAAAUAACAAUCAAAGCAUUUUACGAAUCCGAGUAUGUAGAUUGUUUGACAAGCCUCUUUUUGGUGGCGUCAUUCUUACUAACCAUAAUUUCUUAUAGUUCAAGAAAAUAAGACAAAUUCAGAUACACCAAAACUACUUUUUGUUUUUCCCAUAUCCAAUAUUUAUUUUGAUUUUCAAUAAAUAUAUCCACAAUGUUUUAAUUUUUGUUGAUUAAUGUUUAUCCCUUAUGGUAUUUUGUUAAGAAUAUUAGGAUUUCUCUGAGAAUAGUGCUAUUUUUAUCUGAUAAUAGUUUUGUGUGUUACAAAUUCAAAUGUACCAACCUGUUAGCUAAAAAUUGACUGAGAUAUUUAUAUUCAAUUAGCACUAAAGAAUUAUGCAAUUUUUUAAUGGGCUUCAUAACAACCAAGACCGUAAAUAGUUUUAUCAUUAUAGACAUUUUGAUUUGAAAACGGUUAUUUUUCCUAUUCAUUUUUUGUAGAAUAUGCUAAUUUUUAAGGUACAAUCAUACUAAUACUGUUUUAUGUAUACUUGUGAUAUUGCAUAUUUGAAAAUGAUUCCCUUUUCUGUAAUAGCCUCCAUAUAUUGCUAUCAUUUGUCAUAAUUAUUAUUUUCUAUUCUAUUUUUCUUGAGAUAUUUUCAACAGGAAACAAGUUAUCAAAAGAGCAACAGAAGAACAAAAAUUUACAGGGCAUGCCAUGGCUUUUUUGUUUCUUUGUUUUUAAAUAGUUUUUUCAUUUAUUUUUUUUUUAUUCUUGAGAGAUUUACCCAUUAGGACAUUCCCACCAUUAGGAGUGAGAAUGAUUUCACCAGGCCUAGUUAUUAUUAUUGUAUCCCAGUUUUUCAGGUGCACAAUUAUAAAGAUUGAAAUGAAAAACAGAAGGAACCAAGAACAAAUAUACCAAGUACAUUCUUCCAUAGAUUUGUUUAAGCUUAGUUUUAUAAUGUUAUCUUAGCUUUUCAGAUAUACGACUAUGAAGAUGAAAAACAGAAAGAAGACCAAGGAGAAAUAGACCAAGUAAAAUUAGACUUAGUUUUAUUAAUGUUAGAGCUUUUCAGUUAUAUAUGAAGAUGAAGAAAUGAAGGAAUGAAGGAAGAACCAAUGACAAAUAGACCAAGUAAAUUUUUUAUAUAGAUUUAAUUAGGAUUAGUUUUAUUAAUGUUAUCUUAGAUUUCAGAUAUAAGACUAUGAAGAUAAAAAACAGAAGGAACACCAAGGACAAAUAUACCAAGUAAAUCUUUUAUAUAGAUUUUAUUAGGCUUUAUUAGGUUUUAUUAAUGGUAUAGCUUUUCAGUUAUAGGAC